rnacentral:rRNA from 1 species
UACGUAGGGGGCAAGCGUUGUCCGGAUUCAUUGGGCGUAAAGAGCGUGUAGGCGGCCAGGUAGGUCGGUUGUGAAAACUGGAGGCUCAACCUUCAGAGGUCGACCGAAACCAUCUGGCUAGAGUCCGGGAGAGGAGAGUGGAAUUCCUGGUGUAGCGGUGAAAUGCGCAGAUAUCAGGAAGAACACCAAUGGCGAAGGCAGAUCUCUGGGCCGUAACUGACGCUGAGGAGCGAAAGCAUGGGGAGCGAACAGG